UUUGGAAGGACGAUGCGUGUUUGGAAGGACGAUGAGUGUUUGGAAGGACGAUGCUUGUUUGGAAGGACCAACUGGAACUUUGAGGAACACUGCCUAUUCUGAUGUGGGAGACGUGGAAUUCUGGUGACUUUCUGCUGUUGGGACAAGUGGAAUGAUUCUGGUGACUUUCUGGUGACUUUCUGAUGUUGGGAGAAGUGGAAUUCGCCAUCCUCGCUACCUGUGGAUGCCUGUAUCACUCGGAAACCUCGGAGACGUGAACAUGCACAAGAGACCCCCUGAUUGUGAAAGUGUACAGUUUGCAAGUGGAGUUGUUCUGUAGAUUGCUCGGAAUCGUCGGCAUAGGGGGACAAGGUUGCAUGUUAACUGAGGUGAGGUAACCAUUUUUUUUGCAGGGCCACAUGCAUUUGUCCCCCCCCCCGGAUUGUGACAGUUUGCAAGUGGAGUCGUUCGUUGGAUUGUUUGGAAUCAUCGGCGCAGGGGGAACAAGGUUGCAUGUUAACUGAGGUGAGGUAACCAUUUCCUUCGCAGCUCAAGGCCACAUGCACUUGUUCCCCCGGAUUGUGACAGUGGAGUCGUUCGUUUUGUUCAGAGUAAGUCAAACCAUGAUUCUUGUAUUUUUCAUGUGCAAGCAAAUUUGAAUCUAUCCUGAUUCUAUAAGUCGAAGCAACUGCUAAUUAUUAUAUUAUGUUAACCAAUUUGCACAGCAGUUUUGAGCAAUUCUGUAAUAAAAUUUCUCUCAGGAAAAAAACGUUAAAUUUGCUUGUACAUAUAUAUGUAACUUGAACCAUCCUGGAAAAAUUUCAGUGAAAACAAAGUUUUAGAAAUAAGCACAAAAGUCAAUUUGUUUGUCAGGAUUUUGUUGAAAUAAAGGAAAAUUGGGAGAAAAACAUUCCCAACAGCCCAAAUUCUUUUUUAAUUUUUUUUUUUU